CCCUCGGUGGUGCAAAGGCAGCACUUCUGGCUGUAGUCCAGACAAUCCUGGUUCGAUUCCGGGCUGAGGGA
rnacentral:tRNA from 1 species